AUGAACGCUGGCGGCGUGCUUAACACAUGCAAGUCGAACGGUGAAGGAAGAGCUUGCUCUUUUGGAUCAGUGGCGAACGGGUGAGUAACACGUGAGUAACCUGCCCUUGACUCUGGGAUAAGCACUGGAAACGGUGUCUAAUACCGGAUACGAACUUCCGCCGCAUGGUGAGGAGUUGGAAAGAAUUUCGGUCAAGGAUGGACUCGCGGCCUAUCAGCUAGUUGGUGAGGUAAUGGCCCACCAAGGCGACGACGGGUAGCCG
rnacentral:rRNA from 4 species